UGGUAAUGCCGGAUGCUCCAUCACACCGCAUGGUGUGUUGGGAAAGCCUUUGCGGCAUGGGAUGGGGUCGCGUCCUAUCAGCUUGAUGGCGGGGUAACGGCCCACCAUGGCUUCGACGGGUAGCCGGCCUGAGAGGGCGACCGGCCACAUUGGGACUGAGAUACGGCCCAGACUCCUACGGGAGGCAGCAGUGGGGAAUAUUGCACAAUGGGCGCAAGCCUGAUGCAGCGACGCCGCGUGAGGGAUGGAGGCCUUCGGGUUGUAAACCUCUUUUGUUAGGGAGCAAGGCACUUUGUGUUGAGUGUACCUUUCGAAUAAGCACCGGCUAACUACGUGCCAGCAGCCGCGGUAAUACGUAGGGUGCAAGCGUUAUCCGGAAUUAUUGGGCGUAAAGGGCUCGUAGGCGGUUCGUCGCGUCCGGUGUGAAAGUCCAUCGCUUAACGGUGGAUCCGCGCCGGGUACGGGCGGGCUUGAGUGCGGUAGGGGAGACUGGAAUUCCCGGUGUAACGGUGGAAUGUGUAGAUA
rnacentral:rRNA from 1 species